rnacentral:tRNA from 1 species
ACCAGUUGGUAGAGCAGUUGACUUUUAAUCAAUUGGUCGCAGGUUCGAAUCCUGCA